AAACAGUGAUGUGGAGUAAACUUAUAAAAGCGACCUCAGUUCGGAUUGAAGGCUGAAAUUCGCCUUCAUGAAGUCGGAAUUGCUAGUAAUGGCAGGUCAGCAUACUGCCGUGAAUACGUUCCCGGGCCUUGUACACACCGCCCGUCACACCAUGAGAGUUGGAGGUACCCGAAGCCUAUGAGCUAACUUUUAGAGGCAGUAGUCGAAGGUAGAAUCAAUGAUUGGGGUGAAGUCGUAACAAGGUAAC
rnacentral:rRNA from 1 species